AUUAAAGGUGCUCUAAGAAUUUGGCUAAGAUAGCACAAAUAAUGAUGCUCUAAGA
rnacentral:sRNA from 1 species